UGUCCACCACAUGGUGACCUGUGUGAGCAUCGACUCUGGAGAGGAGGGGGGGGAGACAGCUCUCUACAAUGUUUAGAAUUUAGACUGCAGUACCCAUUUUAACCACUAGGUGUCAGAGUUACAUACUGCUCCUUUGAGUUCAAUUUGUGACCCUAAAAGUAUGUCUAAAAGAAAGAAUAUUUAAAUGAAGAGAAUGAAGAGAGGCGGUGCUGUCAGUAGAUUUCAUUACGGUUGAAUUUUCUCCCCCAGAAAUGAAAGAAAGAUGGAGUGAAUCAUGAGCAGAGCAGGAUGGUGAAUGUUUAAAAACCAGCACUUUGAGUUUGGCCUGUUGGAGGUGAAGUCAGCGAGCCGUCACGUUCAUCUCUGACAUCUGAAUAAACCUUUGGGACACAGAAGUUAGUGACACUGUCUCCACUCCUCCACUUUAUAUUGUAAAUGUCUGUCAGGAAGGCACUUUCCAACAUUCUCCACGUGAUGCUCAUCAUCUUCCUAGUCGACCAAAACGUUUCCAAUGUUUACAUUAUGAGAAGGAGGAAGGAGGAUGAACUGUUCACCGCUUCAUCAAACGACGACUCGUCUGUGUUCAAGCUCUGGACUUCACAUCUGAGCCUCUCUGGUUCAACACCCACAGAAAAAGGUCUACCUCCAUUCUCAUUGUUUCAACACUUCACGGCCCUCUGAUCUCUGAGCUGCCGGGCUUCCAUCUUAGCUGAUGUCUACAUGUUGACCUCUGAGCGACUGACAGUGUGACCCUGUGUUGACCUCUGAGCAACUGACCUCUGAGCAUUUUGUUGACCUCUGAGCGUGUGUUGACCUCUGACCCUGUGUUGACCUCUGAGUGUGUGUUGACCUCUGAGUUUGUUGACCUCUGAGCGUGUGUUGACCUCUGACCCUGUGUUGACCUCUGAGUGUGUGUUGACCUCUGAGUUUGUUGACCUCUGAGCGUGUGUUGACCUCUGACCCUGUGUUGACCUCUGAGUGUGUUGACCUCUGACCCUGUGUUGACGUCUGAGCGUGGCGCUGUGACGUCCUGUGUGUUUGUUGUCAUGCAGCUGUGUAAACCUAUGCAGAUGUCUCCUCGUCAUCUCAGCUGGUUGUUGGGAAGGAUCAACCCAAAGAAUGAUUUUUUUAUAAAGAGGUUUGGAGGAAAUCGAUAUAUUUAUAUAAAAAACGUCUACACCUUUUGAA